GCCUAAGACAUGCAAGUCGAACGGGAUGGCCCAAUGAUUACUCGGAACUUUCUUGUGCUUGCACAAGAAAGGGAAAAGUAUGAUUUGGAUUUUCCAUCCAGUGGCAAACGGGUGAGUAACACGUGGGUUACCUACCUCUAAGACGGGGACAACAGUUGGAAACGAUUGCUAAUACCGGAUGUGCUCUACGGAGUAAAGGAGCCUUUAAAGGCUCCGCUUAGAGAUGGGCCUGCGGUGCAUUAGCUAGUUGGUGGGGUAAUGGCCUACCAAGGCGACGAUGCAUAGCCGAACUGAGAGGUUAAUCGGCCACACUGGGACUGAGACACGGCCCAGACUCCUACGGGAGACAGCAGUUAGGAAUAUUCGUCAAUGGGGGAAACCCUGAACGAGCAAUGCCGCGUGAGUGAUGACGGUCCUCUGGAUUGUAAAACUCUGUUGUUUGGAAAGAACUGUAUAAGUAGGAAAUGACUUGUACUUGACGGUACCAUUCAAGAAAGCCACGGCUAACUACGUG
rnacentral:rRNA from 1 species